rnacentral:rRNA from 1 species
ACCCUGGUAGUCCACGCCGUAAACGAUGAGUGCUAGAUAUCGGAAGAUUCUCUUUCGGUUUCGCAGCUAACGCAUUAAGCACUCCGCCUGGGGAGUACGGUCGCAAGAUUAAAACUCAAAGGAAUUGACGGGGGCUCGCACAAGCGGUGGAGCAUGCGGUUUAAUUCGAUGUUACGCGAAAAACCUUACCAACCCUUGACAUGGUGGUCGCGGAUCGCAGAGAUGCUUUUCUUCAGCUCGGCUGGAUCACACACAGGUGUUGCAUGGCUGUCGUCAGCUCGUGUCGUGAGAUGUUGGGUUAAGUCCCGCAACGAGCGCAACCCUCAUUCUUAUUUGCCAGCGGGUAAUGCCGGGAACUAUAAGAAAACUGCCGGUGAUAAGCCGGAGGAAGGUGGGGACGACGUCAAGUCAUCAUGGCCCUUACGGGUUGGGCUACACGCGUGCUACAAUGGUGUUUACAGAGGGAAGCAAGACGGCGACGUGGAGCAAAUCCCUAAAAGACAUCUCAGUUCGGAUUGUUCUCUGCAACUCGAGAGCAUGAAGUUGGAAUCGCUAGUAAUCGCGGAUCAGCAUGCCGCGGUGAAUACGUUCUCGGGCCUUGUACACACUGCCCGUCACGCCAUGGGAGUUGGUUUUACCUGAAGGUGGUGAGCUA